AAGCCUCGCCUGUUUACCAAAAACAUGGCCUCCUGCAACCUAGAAUAGGAGGUCCGGCCUGCCCAGUGACUAUUGUUCAACGGCCGCGGUAUCUUGACCGCGCUAAGGUAGCGUAAUCAUUUGUCUUUUAAAUGGAGACCUGUAUGAAAGGCAAAACGAGGGUUUAACUGUCUCCCUCUUCUGAUCAGUGAAAUUGACCUCCCCGUGCAGAGGCGGGGAUAAAAAAAUAAGACGAGAAGACCCUGUGGAGCUUUAGACAUAAGGGGGAAAGAAGAAAACCCACUUCUAAAAAGGGGCACUACCUUCAACCUUCCUGCGUCUUAGGUUGGGGCGACCCUGGAGUAAAAAAAAUCAUCCACGAAGCUGGGUACACAGUCCCUAUAACAAAGAUUCACCACUCUAAACCUCAGAACUUCUGACUACACUGAUCCGGCACUCCCGAUCAACGGAACAAGUUACCCCAGGGAUAACAGCGCAAUCCUCUUCCAGAGUCCUUAUCGACAAGGGGGUUUACGACCUCGAUGUUGGAUCAGGGCAUCCUAAUGGUGCAGCCGCUAUUAAGGGUUCGUUUGUUCAACGACUAAAGCCCUACGUGAUCUGAGUUCAG
rnacentral:rRNA from 1 species